rnacentral:lncRNA from 1 species
AUCUUGAUGUUGUCUUUAUGAAAGUGAUGGUUCCUUUGCAUACAAGAAUCAAAAGGCCAAGAAAGUGCUGAAAUCAAGGUACUUCUCACUUCUUACCUUAAGCAAAUCAAAGUCUUCUCUCCCACAACACAAUCAUAUACAAAACUUCGUUCUCCCAAAACUGAGCUAUCACAAUCCGUAUCUAUGAACAGUAGAUCGCUCAGAGCCUCCGAUUCUCAGACAUGUACAACCGGAAGCGUUGAGUCUCGGAAGAUUGAGUAGUGGUCCUAGCUAGUACUACUAUGUGCCCGGCAUUUGAACCAUCAUUAAUUCAUUAUGUUAUGAUUGAAUAAUAUUGGUGUACAAGGAUUAUGAUUAGGGAUUGUAAAGCUAUAUAAAUAGAGUAACACAUUCAUCCAUACUACUUAAAAAAUACUCUCUGAUUCAACGAGUUUAGUCUAAUUAAACAUCUCAUCAUCGUUCCUAACCAUACGAUCCGAAUCAUGGCCACGAAGAAGAUCUAUGGCUUCGUGCUCGUGAUCAUGUUUCUCUUGAGUUGCACUUGUACCUCGGCUAAAAUAUACAAAGUCAGUGGUUCCAAGUUCCAACUAUGGAUGGACAGUGAAGGAUGACUCUUGGGCUGAACAUAAGCAAUUCCACGUUGGAGAUUCCCUCGUCUUC